GUCAAGUAAGAAUACCCGCUGAACUUAAGCAUAUCAAUAAGCGGAGGAAAAGAAACUAACUAGGAUUCCCUUAGUAACGGCGAGUGAACUGGGAAGAGCUCAAAUUUUAAAUCACUUCGGUGAAUUGUAAUUUAAAGAAAGUGUUUUGACUUUUCAGUUUAAUCUAAAUCCUUUGGGAUGAGGUAUCACAGAGGGUGAGACUCCCGUUCGUGAUUAAACCUCGGAUUGCACUAAUUCACUUUCUAAGAGUCGAGUUGUUUGGGAUUGCAGCUCUAAAUGGGUGGUAAAUUUCACCUAAGGCUAAAUAUAUGCAAGAGACCGAUAGCGAACAAGUACCGUGAGGGAAAGAUGAAAAGAACUUUGAAAAGAGAGUUAAACAGUACGUGAAAUUGUUGAAAGGGAAACGAUUGAAGUCAGUCAUGCUAGUGAGGAAUCAACUUGGUGGUUUACUUCCUUGUGUAUUUUCUUACUUGGCAGGUUAGCAUCAAUUUUGGUUGUCAUCAAAUAAUUGGGGGGAAUGUGGCUUUUCUUCGGGAAAGUGUUAUAGACCUUGAUAGAUGUGGCGACUGAGAUUGAGGUUUGCAGCGAAUGCCUUUGGCUAGUCAUCUGUCUUCCGACCGUCACCUCGCUUUUGACAGCUUGCUGAUGAUUGCGGGAUUUGGUGGCCUAGAAGUUAGAAUGCACAUAAAUUCGCUAAGGAUGCUGACGUAAUGGCUUUAAACGACCCGUCUUGAAACACGGACCAAGGAGUCUAACAUAUGUGCGAGUGUU
rnacentral:rRNA from 1 species